rnacentral:lncRNA from 12 species
GAUUUUUUUUCCAAUUUUUCCUGAUUUUUACCUGAAUUGUUUUCCCAAUUUUUCCCUUUUAUACACAAUUUCCCCUGAUUUUUGCAUGAUUUUUUCCCCAGUUUUUCCCGAUUUUUUACCUGAUUUUUACCUGGUUUAUUCCCCCAAUAUUUCCCUGAUUUUUCCCAAGUUUUCCCUGGUUUUUCCCAAUUUUUACCAAUUUUUCUGGAUUUUUCCCCCUGAUUUUUCCCCGAUUUUCCCCUGAUAUUUCCCAAUUUUCCCCUGAAUUUUAUGUGAUUUUUUCCCCAACUUUUCCCAAUUUUUUCCCAAUUUUUCCUGAUUUUUUCCCUGAUUUUUCCAGAUUUUUCUCUUUUUUUCCUCAUUUUUUCCUGAUUUUUCCCAAUUUCCCCCUGAUUUUUACCUGAACUUUUCCCCAAUUUUCCCCUACUUUUUUCCAGAUUUUUUUCCCUGAUUUUUCCAGAUUUUUUUCUUAUUUUUUUCCUGAUUUUUUUCCUGGUUUUUCUUGAUUUUUCCCUGUUUUUUCCCAAUUUUCCCCUGAUUUUUACAUGAUUUUUCCCCAGUUUUCCCCAAUUUUUUAUUCCUUAUUUUUCCCAAUUAUUACCUGAUUUUUCCCAUAUUUUCCUGAUUUUUUCCUAAUUUUUGCCAAUUUUUACCUGAUUUUUUCCCUGAUUUUUUCCUGAUUUUCCCCUAUUUUUCCCUGAUUUUUUCCCUGAUUUUUCCAAAUUUUUACCUGAUAUUUUUCCUGAUUUUCCCCAAUUUUCCCCUGAUUUUGCCCAAUUUCCUUCUGAUUUUUCACAAUUUUUACCUGACUUCUUCCCUGAUUUUUCCCUAAUUUCUUUCCUGACUUUUUAUUAUUUUUUUCCCGAUUUUCCAGUGUUUUUUUUUCCUGAUUUUUUCCUGAUUUUCUCCUGACUUUUUCUCUGACUUUUUUCUGAUAUUUUUUCCUGUUGGGUUUUUUUUUUUUUUGAGGGAUUUUUUGGUUUUUUUAUGUUUUCCCACCUUUUUUUCCCCACUUUUCUUUAUCCUUUUUCCCCUGUUUUUUCUCUGAUUUUUCCCUUAUUUUUUUUCCUCUUUUCCCUCCUUUUUCCCCUGUUUUUUCUCUGAUUUUUCUCUUAUUUUUUUUUUCCUCUUUUCCCUUUUUUUUUUCUCAUUUUCUCCCCCAAAUUUUCCCCAAACCUCUGAUUUUCUCCCCCAAAUUUUCUAAAUUUCCCAGGUAACGCCCCCCUGGUCCCUGUUGGGGUCCUGCACGAGGGCAAGAUGAAUUUCCCAAAAUCCCUCUUUUUUUUC